UCCAGACUCCUACGAGAGGCAGCAGUGGGGGAUAUUGCACAAUGGGGGGAACCCUGAUGCAGCGACGCCGCGUGGGUGAAGGAGCGUUUCGGCGCGUAAAGCCCUAUCAGCAGGGAAGAAAAUGACGGUACCUGACUAAGAAGCCCGGGCUAACUACGUGCCAGCAGCCGCGGUAAUACGUAGGGGGCAAGCGUUAUCCGGAAUUACUGGGUGUAAAGGGAGCGCAGGCGGCAGUGCAAGUCUGGAGUGAAAGCCCGUGGCUUAACCACGGGACUGCUCUGGAAACUGUGCAGCUAGAGUGCAGGAGAGGCAGGCGGAAUUCCUAGUGUAGCGGUGAAAUGCGUAGAUAUUAGGAGGAACACCAGUGGCGAAGGCGGCCUGCUGGACGAUGACUGACGCUGAGGCUCGAAAGCGUGGGGAGCAAACAGGAUUAGAUACCCUAGUAAA
rnacentral:rRNA from 1 species